rnacentral:rRNA from 1 species
GAGUUUGAUCAUGGCUCAGAUUGAACGCUGGCGGCAGGCCUAACACAUGCAAGUCGAACGGUAACAGGAAGAAGCUUGCUUCUUUGCUGACGAGUGGCGGACGGGUGAGUAAUGUCUGGGAAACUGCCUGAUGGAGGGGGAUAACUACUGGAAACGGUAGCUAAUACCGCAUAACGUCGCAAGACCAAAGAGGGGGACCUUCGGGCCUCUUGCCAUCGGAUGUGCCCAGAUGGGAUUAGCUAGUAGGUGGGGUAACGGCUCACCUAGGCGACGAUCCCUAGCUGGUCUGAGAGGAUGACCAGCCACACUGGAACUGAGACACGGUCCAGACUCCUACGGGAGGCAGCAGUGGGGAAUAUUGCACAAUGGGCGCAAGCCUGAUGCAGCCAUGCCGCGUGUAUGAAGAAGGCCUUCGGGUUGUAAAGUACUUUCAGCGGGGAGGAAGGGAGUAAAGUUAAUACCUUUGCUCAUUGACGUUACCCGCAGAAGAAGCACCGGCUAACUCCGUGCCAGCAGCCGCGGUAAUACGGAGGGUGCAAGCGUUAAUCGGAAUUACUGGGCGUAAAGCGCACGCAGGCGGUUUGUUAAGUCAGAUGUGAAAUCCCCGGGCUCAACCUGGGAACUGCAUCUGAUACUGGCAAGCUUGAGUCUCGUAGAGGGGGGUAGAAUUCCAGGUGUAGCGGUGAAAUGCGUAGAGAUCUGGAGGAAUACCGGUGGCGAAGGCGGCCCCCUGGACGAAGACUGACGCUCAGGUGCGAAAGCGUGGGGAGCAAACAGGAUUAGAUACUCUGGUAGUCCACGCCGUAAACGAUGUCGACUUGGAGGUUGUGCCCUUGAGGCGUGGCUUCCGGAGCUAACGCGUUAAGUCGACCGCCUGGGGAGUACGGCCGCAAGGUUAAAACUCAAAUGAAUUGACGGGGGCCCGCACAAGCGGUGGAGCAUGUGGUUUAAUUCGAUGCAACGCGAAGAACCUUACCUGGUCUUGACAUCCACGGAAGUUUUCAGAGAUGAGAAUGUGCCUUCGGGAACCGUGAGACAGGUGCUGCAUGGCUGUCGUCAGCUCGUGUUGUGAAAUGUUGGGUUAAGUCCCGCAACGAGCGCAACCCUUAUCCUUUGUUGCCAGCGGUCCGGCCGGGAACUCAAAGGAGACUGCCAGUGAUAAACUGGAGGAAGGUGGGGAUGACGUCAAGUCAUCAUGGCCCUUACGACCAGGGCUACACACGUGCUACAAUGGCGCAUACAAAGAGAAGCGACCUCGCGAGAGCAAGCGGACCUCAUAAAGUGCGUCGUAGUCCGGAUUGGAGUCUGCAACUCGACUCCAUGAAGUCGGAAUCGCUAGUAAUCGUGGAUCAGAAUGCCACGGUGAAUACGUUCCCGGGCCUUGUACACACCGCCCGUCACACCAUGGGAGUGGGUUGCAAAAGAAGUAGGUAGCUUAACCUUCGGGAGGGCGCUUACCACUUUGUGAUUCAUGACUGGGGUGAAGUCGUAACAAGGUA